UACUGCUAUCGGGGUCCGACUAGCCAUGCGAGUUGAGAGGGGUAAGCCCUCGGCAUAUUGCUCAGUAACACGCGGAUAACCUGCCCUUGGGUUCGGGAUAACCCCUGGAAACUGGGACUAAUACCGGAUAGAUCAAAGAAACUGGAAUGUUCUCUGGUUAAAAACUCCGGUGCCCAAGGAUGGGUCUGCGGCCUAUCAGGUAGUAGUGGGUGUAACGUACCUACUAGCCUACGACGGGUAAGGGUUGUGAGAGCAAGAGCCCUGAGAUGGAUUCUGAGACAUGAAUCCAGGCCCUACGGGGUGCAGCAGGCGCGAAAACUUUACACUGCGGGAAACCGCGAUAAGGGGACCCCGAGUGCCAGCACCUAGUGCUGGCUGUCCAGCUGUCCAAAUAACAGUUGUUAGCAAGGGCCGGGCAAGACCGGUGCCAGCCGCCGCGGUAACACCGGCGGCCCGAGUGGUAGCCGUUAUUAUUGGGUUUAAAGGGUCCGUAGCCGGCCUAUUAAGUCUCUUGGGAAAUCUGGCGACUCAAUCGUCAGGCGUCCAAGAGAUACUGGUAGGCUUGGGACCGGGAGAGGUGGGAGGUACCCCAGGGGUAGGGGUGAAAUCUCGUAAUCCUUGGGGGACCACCGAUGGCGAAGGCAUCCCACCAGAACGGGUCCGACGGUGAGGGACGAAAGCUGGGGGCACGAACCGGAUUAGAUACCCGGGUAGUCCCAGCCGUAAACGAUGCUCGCUAGGUGUCAGGUGCGGUGCGACCGCAUCUGGUGCCGCAGUGAAAACUUGAAGCGAGUCACCUGGGAAGUACGGUCGCAAGGCUGAAACUUAAAGGAAUUGGCGGGGGAGCACUACAACGGGUGGAGCCUGCGGUUCAAUUGGAUUCAACGCCCGGA
rnacentral:rRNA from 1 species